CACCCUGUUCACCAUACACAGCCUGUGAGUCUCUGUUAGGGUUAAGGUGUUCAGUGCUCUGCUCUAACAAAAGUCUGCUCUACAAAAAAGAAAAGAUUCGACCCGACAGAGAGGCGACUCUGAAAGCAAAGGCUCUGAUCCAUCAGUCCUCACGCUAUUGUACUCCACUUGCCUUUUGUUGAAAAAAAAAACCAAACAAACAUCAUGGGAACAUUUCAAGAUGAGGACUUGGAUUGGGAUGAGAAGAGCAACGACACGAGGCGGACUCAGCCUCCGAAAUACGAGGAGACGGAGACUAAAAGCUCCGGGAGGAAGUGUCCCACGUGCUGCCUGAAGACAAGGAACUGUCUGAUGAGUGGAGAGUGCGGCAGAUGCCUUCAGAUCUCCAGCGUCAUCGCCAUGUGUGGCAUGUGCAUCCGCAUGUUCGUGUGACCUAACCUUGGGCUUCAUAACCUGCUUUUCCCGGAUCAUCAUCACUAUCACGCUUUACGAGUGAUGCCACGUGGUUUUCUUAUGAUCUGCUAACAGUUGUCUUUUUAAUUCUUUAUCCACAAGGUAUUCAUUUCACAUGAUCACUGCCUGUGUUUAGAACAACUUAGAAAGUCAUUAUGAAGGAAUGAAUGAGUAGAUGAAUGAGCAUGUUUGAUUGAUCAUGUAUGAUGGAUCUAUAUUUAGUAAAAUCAGAUUUCUUUAUUUAUAUUUUUAGGUACGAAAAUUGCAAUAAAAUAUAAAAACUAAUAUGAUGGAUAAAAAAGUUAUUCGGUUUAUGCUACAGUGUAAAACAUUUUCUCUUACAAUAUGAGUGAGAGGGUUUUGGUGAGAAAAAAAUGACAUAUCUGAACAAAUGCAAAACUUUGAAUAAAGCUUCAAGUAACAACAAGAA